ensembl:processed_transcript
AGUUUUCAGAGAGCCGCCAUCAGCAUCAUCCACGUGGACUGGCUCUCAUUGGAUCGAAACCUUCUGAUAAAAAUGCCUUAAAAAGCCCAUAUUAUAGAAUCUUAUCAAAACACCAACUUGGAGUGGGUCAAAUCAGAAAGAGUGCCAGAGGACACCGUUUCAGUUGUGGAUGAAGGAAAGCAACAUUACAUUGCUAAACAUAUCUCAAAAUGUGAGCUUUGCUUUUUCGAUAGCAAUUUACAGUCCUGUUUUAAAAGGGUGGCCACCGGGGAAUGGAAAUAUGUGAAAAUUUCCAAUUACAAAGACUUGAUGUUUUUAUUAAACAGGGACAACUUUGAACUGCUGGAAUGGAAGAAAUAUACCAACGAAAGAUUUCCACCAAUGUCACUGGUGGUAUGUGGGCAAUUUAUUGUUAAAAAUCUGAACAUGAGAGCACAAACCGAUGGGGAAGUGCUCGCCAUAAACACUGACAUUAAAGUGCAACAAAUAUCAAGUGCGGUGAUAACAUAAAACCUUGAAGUGCUCAAACAUUUCAAAGCU